AGAGUUUGAUCAUGGCUCAGGAUGAACGGCUGGCGGCGUGCCUAAUACAUGCAAGUCGAACGAGGUGCUUUGUAGCAAUACGAGAGUAUCCUAGUGGCGAACGGGUGAGUAACGCGUUGGUGACUACCCCAAAGUGUGGGAUAACAGUCCGAAAGGAUUGCUAAUACCGCAUGUGGUCUUCGGGUUUAGAAACUGAUGACUAAAGGAGCAAUUCGCUUUGGGAGGGACCUGCGUCCCAUCAGCUAGUUGGUGAGGUAAUGGCUCACCAAGGCUACGACGGGUAGGGGACCUGAGAGGGUGACCCCCCACAAUGGAACUGAAACACGGUCCAUACACCUACGGGUGGCAGCAGUAGGGAAUAUUGCACAAUGGGCGAAAGCCUGAUGCAGCAACGCCGCGUGUGCGAUGAAGGCCUUCGGGUCGUAAAGCGCUUUUCUGGGAGAUGAGCAAGGACAGUAUCUCAGGAAUAAGUCUCGGCUAACUACGUG
rnacentral:rRNA from 1 species